rnacentral:snoRNA from 1 species
AUCCUCAGGUUAUAAGCGGGAUGAUUGGGUGUUCAUGCUCCAUGCAUGACAUGUGCCUCCUUUGAACCUUGUUACGACCUCGGCACAUUACCCAUCUGACG